UCCUGUGGAAGUAGGGUUGGGCUGACAUGAAUUAUUUGAAUAUACCGUUAAAUUCUUAGGGGGGACCCCGUUAGUUUUAGCCAACAUAACAAGACACACAAAAAUAACAAAUGUGUGCCCCUUAGGCUUUUCAUAAUUUUGCUAAAUGACAAGACAAGUGGAUCGUAAAUUUAAUCCCUUCGAAGUGUACCGACCACCCGGUCGUUGUCGGAUAUUGUUUUUCACAAACGAACGAUUGUUUUUUUUUCAAUUUUCCAAAGUGGGGAUCGGCGAAACGGGGACGAGAUACCGCUUUAAAGACACUGUUGGAAAGAUAAAAAUAUGUAUUAUAACUCUAUUGUUCGUGGCUGGAAAACCAUCAGUCAAUUCUUUGCAUGUCAGAAUUCGGCGGAUGUCAGAGCUUGCAACCUUAUCUUUUUAUACACGGAGGCAACGGGAAGAAUUCAAAGCGAUUAAAGCAGCUUGAACUAUACUGUUUGAUCAGAAGUAGAUUUGAGGCAAACUAAAUAUCGCUCAUAGAAACUCUGUUUGUUCUGCUACUCACCCCGUGAGCCUGGGAUACCUGUGGCUCACUAAGAAAGUGCAGAGAAUAGUUAUUUUAUUUGCCAUCACAAAUAAAACUAUACCUGUCAAGAAUCUAUAUGUCUUACCAUAUUCGCCUCCUGGAUAUUACCAAAUGCUUCAACAAUCGCAUCUGUCCGGACCUCCACUGGGCGGCCUAGGGAUAAAGAGGAGAGCAUACUACUCUUAGGGUUUCAGGGCUGGUUUCUUUCGAACAAGCGCAAGCGCAAUACAUGUGAAAACGAUUCUCCGUGCAAUGAACUCGGGAACGCGAUACGAUAAUUUCUAUAUUUAAAAUUUUUUUGUUAUUAUCUAUGCUCUCUUGUACUCACAUGUUUUGCAACAAAUUUUGCCGAACGGAAAGUUACAAAAUAGCCAUUAUGGGUUACCUGUAGUGCGCUAGUCCGCUGACUGUUAGCGCGAGGUCAGUAAUGGCGGGGAGUAAAAGAAACCACCGACAGAAAUUUUGAAUUUUUUUCAAGAUCUGAUGGCUCCGAUCUUCGUUGCUGAUAGUCCUGCACCCUCGAAUAUCCGGGAUCUUGACCGGGAUCUUAUUUUGUGUCCACGCCCUGCAAAGAAUGUUUCCAAAUGUAAGCUUUACACCGCUGACCCGCGUACUGCAACGCGAGGGAGCAGACUGGGCACCACAUCGAGUCUUCGAGCGAUAACCGUUGGGGAAUGGGGUCGAGGUUAUGUGAAACGAGGCGCUGCUGUGCGGCAUCGUAGUGAAACUGGCGAGCCGUGAGCUACGCGUUGGCGUGCGCAGAGGUCUAGCAUUCCCACAUACGAAUGCGCAUCCACUUGAGCUUAUAGACCGUUGACUACAUGUCGCUGAUCGCUUACUUACUGAAACACAAAAAUGGAAAUCUUAUGAGAAAUGGCGAAUAUUUGCGUGGUCUUGUGAAUAGCGUUUACGUUUUCUUACCGUAGUUAUUGCGUUUGCUGCAGGGCAGGAACACACUGUCUAUAGAAACCGUGUGUGAGACCCUCAGCGAUGGCAAAAGUCUGCAAGCAAAAUGAUAGAUACCGUAUUUGUUCUAUAUCCUUCGUCUCUUAUAGUAUAAACAAACUUCUGUAUUAGCUUUAGGUCCUUUUUCCUUCUACUCAUUCUUCAAGUCUACCUGAAUUAGCAUGCAUGAUAUGUAUGACGCGUGUUGAUCAAUUCAAAUCAGACAAGUACAUAACACACAAUCCUGGCGAUAGGGACAGGGUUGAAAUUUCUAUCCCUACUAUUAAAUUAGCCUGGACUUGAUUUUUUUGUUUUGCAUCUCCUGUCUCUUGUGAUCUCUUUUUAAUCAAUGAAUGCAGCAUGUACGUGAAAAACGAAAGCUGGCGAAGAAGAAACUGGGAUGUGUAAUUUACAGAAACCCUGCAUCCAAUAGAGAACAGGUCCCCUUCAGUCUGGCGGCAUCUUGUGACGAGGGCGGGGUUCUAGGGUACCUGUUAAGAAGCUGUGAGGCAACCGCAGCAAGGUCCGUUGUGUUGGUAUACGCCAGCGCAUGGAUAUCAUUGUUACAGGCCUAGAUUCAGAAUAAAAUUCAAUUAAAAUAUAUAACACUACAAUUCUGAUAUAUAUUAUAUUCAUAUUAAAUUUAUUAUAAAAUGGAAAUUAAUAUAGUGAAGAUAAAUAAUUUCAUAUAUUGAAGAUACUUAUUUUUAUCAUUUCA